rnacentral:rRNA from 1 species
CCUACGGGUGGCAGCAGUGAGGAAUAUUGGUCAAUGGGCGCGAGCCUGAACCAGCCAAGUAGCGUGAAGGAUGACUGCCCUACGGGUUGUAACCCUCUUUUAUAAAGGAGUUAAGUGAGGCACGUGUGCCUUUUUGUCUGUACUUUAUGAAUAAGGAUCGGCUAACUCCGUGCCAGCAGCCGCGGUAAUACGGAGGAUCCGAGCGUUAUCCGGAUUUAGUGGGUUUAAAGGGUGCGUAGAUGGGUUGUUAAGUCAGUUGUGAAAGUUUGCGGCUUAACCGUAAAAGUGCAAUUGAUACUGGCAGUCUUGAGUACGGUUGAGGUAGGCGGAAUUCGUGGUGUAGCGGUGAAAUGCUUAGAUAUCACGAAGAACUCCGAUUGCGAAGGCAGCUUACUAAAAUGCCACUGACAUUGAUGCUCGAAAGCGUGGGUAGCAAACAGGAUUAGAUACCCGGGUAGUC